GAAGACGCUGUGAAAGUAAAUUCAUUUUAUUUUCACUUCCGAAAGAUGAAGCUGCAAAGAGUCAGUGGGAAAAAAAUCAUAUUUUAAGCA